ensembl:misc_RNA
CUACCCGCCAAGCGUUCUCCGCUGGCCUGUGAGAUACGGUCCUCCCUCCACCUCCCCUUCUCGGCCUUCGCGAGUGUGGGUGCCUCGGGGCACUGGCGAGACCCUCCAG